rnacentral:rRNA from 1 species
GCGGCGCAUUUAAGACAUGCAAGUCGAACGAAAAUUUACGCUUAAAGAGUUGAUUAGUUUACUAAGAGAUGAUUUAUUGUAAAUUUUAGUGGCGGACUGGUGAGUAAUACAUAGGUAAUCUGCCUUUUAGAGGGGAAUAACUAGGAGAAAUCCUAGCUAAUACCGCGUAAGACCACACUUAGGCAUCUAAGAGAGGUCAAAGGAGUAAUCCGCUAAAAGAUGAGCCUGUGGCUGAUUAGUUAGUUGGUGGGGUAAGAGCCUACCAAGACGAUGAUCAGUAGCCGAGCUGAGAGGCUGGCCGGCCACAUUGGGACUGAGAUACGGCCCAGACUCCUACGGGAGGCAGCAGUUGGGAAUAUUGGACAAUGGAGAAAACUCUGAUCCAGUGACGCCGCGUGAAGGAAGAAGGUCUUCGGAUUGUAAACUUAUUUUAUCAGGGAAGAAGAAAGUGACAGUACCUGAAGAAAAAGGACCGGCAAACUACGUGCCAGCAGCCGCGGUAAUACGUAGGGUCCAAGCGUUAUCCGGACUUACUGGGUGUAAAGGGCGAGUAGACGGCGCUGUAAGUCAGCUGUGAAAACUUAGGGCUCAACCUUAAGCCUGCAGCUGAAACUGUAGUGCUAGAGUGCAGGAGAGGUAAGCGGAAUUCCUAGUGUAGCGGUGAAAUGCGUAGAUAUUAGGAGGAACACCAGUGGCGAAGGCGGCUUACUGGACUGUAACUGACGUUGAGGCGCGAAAGUGUGGGGAGCAAACAGGAUUAGAUACCCUGGUAGUCCACACCGUAAACGAUGGAUACUAGGUGUAGGCGAGAUAUCGUCUGUGCCGGCGCAAACGCAAUAAGUAUCCCACCUGGGGAGUACGGCCGCAAGGUUGCAACUCAAAUGAAUUGACGG